CACGGGGGGAACGCGAGAACCUUACCUAGACCUGACAUCUCCUGAAUUACCCUUAAUCGGGGAAGCCCUUCGGGGCAGGAAGACAGGUGGUGCAUGGUUGUCGUCAGCUCGUGUCGUGAGAUGUUGGGUUAAGUCCCGCAACGAGCGCAACCCUUAUCAUUAGUUGCUACCAUUAAGUUGAGCACUCUAGUGAGACUGCCCGGGUUAACCGGGAGGAAGGUGGGGAUGACGUCAAAUCAUCAUGCCCCUUAUGUCUAGGGCUACACACGUGCUACAAUGGUAGGUACAAUAAGAUGCAAGACCGUGAGGUGGAGCAAAACUGAAAAACCUAUCCCAGUUCGGAUUGAAGGCUGAAACUCGCCUUCAUGAAGCCGGAGUUGCUAGUAAUCGCGAAUCAGAAUGUCGCGGUGAAUACGUUCCCGGGUCUUGUACACACGA
rnacentral:rRNA from 1 species